rnacentral:tRNA from 14 species
GGGCCCGUGGUCUAGCCUGGUUAUGACGCCGCCCUCACACGGCGGAGGUCCGGGGUUCGAACCCCCGCGGGCCCACCA